rnacentral:rRNA from 1 species
ACAGAGGGGUCCCGCGGUAGGAGGAAUGAAGGGGCGUAAAGGGCGCGUAGGCGGUGAUUUAAGUGAGAUGUGCAAUCCCCGGGCUUAACCUGGGAACUGCAUCUCAGACUGGGUCGCUAGAGUGCUGGAGAGGGUGGUGGAAUUCCACGUGUAGCGGUGAAAUGCGUAGAGAUGUGGAGGAACACCAGUGGCGAAGGCGGCCACCUGGACAGUAACUGACGCUGAGGCGCGAAAGUGUGGGGAGCAAACAG